GAUGAACGCUGGCGGCGUGCCUAAUACAUGCAAGUCGAGCGAACAGACGAGGAGCUUGCUCCUCUGACGUUAGCGGCGGACGGGUGAGUAACACGUGGAUAACCUACCUAUAAGACGGAGAUAACUUCGGGAAACCGGAGCUAAUACCGGAUAAUAUAUUGAACCGCAUGGGUCGAUAGUGAAAGACGGCGUUGCGGGCACUUAUAGAUGGAUACGCGCCGGAUGAGAUAGUUGGUAAGUUAAAGGCUUACCAAGGCAAGUAUGCGUGUCCGAACUGAGAGGGUGAUCGGCGACCUGGGAACGUAGACAGCGUCCAUGCGACUGAGGGACGGAGCAGAAGCGAAUCGGCCGCAACGGGCGAAAGUAUUGCGGAGCAACCCCGCGCGAGUUAUGAAGGCCCUCCGAUCGGAAAGCUCUCUUUCUAGGGAAAAACCAAUGUGUAAGUAAAUAUGCACGUCUUGACGGUACUUAAUCAGAAAGCCACGGCUAACUACGUG
rnacentral:rRNA from 1 species